AGAGUUUGAUCCUGGCUCAGAUUGAACGCUGGCGGCAGGCCUAACACAUGCAAGUCGAGCGGAAACGAUCCUAGCUUGCUAGGAGGCGUCGAGCGGCGGACGGGUGAGUACUGCAUAGGAAUCUGCCCGGUAGUGGGGGAUAACCUGGGGAAACUCAGGCUAAUACCGCAUACGUCCUACGGGAGAAAGGGGGCCUUGGCUCCCGCUAUCGGAUGAGCCUAUGCCGGAUUAGCUAGUUGGUGAGGUAAUGGCUCACCAAGGCGACGAUCCGUAGCUGGUCUGAGAGGAUGAUCAGCCACAUCGGGACUGAGACACGGCCCGAACUCCUACGGGAGGCAGCAGUGGGGAAUAUUGGACAAUGGGGGCAACCCUGAUCCAGCCAUGCCGCGUGUGUGAAGAAGGCCCUCGGGUUGUAAAGCACUUUCAGUGAGGAAGAACGCCUGAUGGUUAAUACCCGUCAGGAAAGACAUCACUCACAGAAGAAGCACCGGCUAACUCCGUGCCAGCAGCCGCGGUAAUACGGAGGGUGCAAGCGUUAAUCGGAAUUACUGGGCGUAAAGCGCGCGUAGGUGGCUUGAUAAGCCGGUUGUGAAAGCCCCGGGCUCAACCUGGGAACGGCAUCCGGAACUGUCAGGCUAGAGUGCAGGAGAAGGAAGGUAGAAUUCCCGGUGUAGCGGUGAAAUGCGCAGAGAUCGGGGAGGAAUUACCAGUGGCGAAAGCGGCCUUUCUGGACUGACACUGA
rnacentral:rRNA from 1 species